AAUCAACGCUGGCGGCGUGCCUCACACAUGCAAGUCGAACGAUUAAACUUCCCUUCGGGGGAGUUAUAAAGUGGCGCACGGGUGAGUAACACGUAGGUAAUGUACCCUUGGGUGGGGGAUAACUUAGGGAAACUUAAGCUAAUACCGCAUAGUGCAGCGGCUCCUUCGGGGGGCGGUUGUUAGAGAUGUAUGGGCUAAAGAGCAGCCUGCGGCAGAUUAGUGAGUGGGUAAGGUAGCGGCAUACCAAGGCUGGGAUCUGUAUCCGAGGGGAGAGGGGGGUCGGACAGGCUGGCGCUGAGGACCGGGUCAGAAUCGGAGGGGGGGGAGGAGUCGGGAGUUUUGGGGGAGGGGGGAAGGCGUGACACAGCAGCGCCGCGUGAAGGAUGAAGUCUGUCGGGAUGUAAACUUCGUAAGAAUAGGAAGAAUAUAUGACGGUACUAUUUGUAAGGACCGGCUAACUACGUG
rnacentral:rRNA from 1 species